rnacentral:rRNA from 1 species
GGCGCACGGGUGCGUAACGCGUGGGAAUCUGCCCCUUGGUUCGGAAUAACAGUUAGAAAUGACUGCUAAUACCGGAUAACGACGUAAGUCCAAAGAUUUAUCGCCGAGGGAUGAGCCCGCGUAGGAUUAGCUAGUUGGUGGGGUAAAGGCCUACCAAGGCGACGAUCCUUAGCUGGUCUGAGAGGAUGAUCAGCCACACUGGGACUGAGACACGGCCCAGACUCCUACGGGAGGCAGCAGUGGGGAAUAUUGGACAAUGGGCGAAAGCCUGAUCCAGCAAUGCCGCGUGAGUGAUGAAGGCCUUAGGGUUGUAAAGCUCUUUUACCCGGGAUGAUAAUGACAGUACCGGGAGAAUAAGCUCCGGCUAACUCCGUGCCAGCAGCCGCGGUAAU